rnacentral:lncRNA from 1 species
CGGAGGGGAUCGCGUUAGCGAUCCCCUGCUCUGGCCCCUUCCAAAAGGGGUGUAUCUCACAUUCUCUCCCCCUUAUAAAAAUUUCGUCCUCGAAAUUUAAGAGAUUUAGGCCUUUCAUAUGCUCAGCCCAUUGAGUAAUAUAAAUCCAAGAUCUUAUUCUUCUCGAUAAAAAUUAGUGUGAUAGAUAACUUUGAAUCAAUUAUCAAAAAUUUCAUAUAAACUCGCAAGAUUAGCACUAGGUAAGUGACUAACUGAAAUCUCAGAUUGAAAUUAUCAUCUUGAUGCAUGUUCACUCGAGAUCGGAUUAGGAUCGAUUCACAACAGGAUUGAUUAAAAUUAGUUGUGUUUGGGAUAGAACUUGAAAUGAAAUAGAUCUCAUACACUUAUCAUGGUAGUGUGUUGAUCCCUCAAAGGAUAAUGACCAACCUUAGAGUCAAAUCAUUAAAUGGCUAGAAAUGUAAUUCACAAAAUAAACAUAUACUGAUGAUCAUUAGAUACAACGGUCUAUUACAAAAAUGAUUUGCAUCAAAUCACAAGAGCAGGUCUGAGAAGGCAAAGUAUUGAUACCAUGAUUCAAUAUGCUACAAAGCUUUUAACUUAAACUUAUAAAUCAUAAGAUGGGUGCAAAUAAUGCAUGGUUUAUUCAGAUACUUAACAAAUUAGACUAUAUUUGGUCAACAUCAACUAACCCGAAUCAUGAUACGCUCAAAUUAUUAUUAUUAUUAUUUUCUUCUUAGCAUACCCAAAAAUAGCAAAGUCUAUCCAAAAGAUAAUAACAUAAUCAUAUCAUGAUUGACCGCUGAGAAUCAAUAGUAUUCACCUUCCCUUAUUAACAAAAUCUUUCAUUAUUGAACAACAUAGUUUUCAUCAUAACAUGUUACCAAAACACAGUCACUAUUUUUAUCCAAUUUAAAAUAACUCAGUCCACCAUGCUUUCAUUGUGCAACUCUGAUCAAUAUUUUCCAAAAUUUCUUAAUGAUCCCAGAUCAUCAACAUUUUUUUUUAUAAUAUCUAAGCAAAAUUUUAUCCUUGCUUCCUAAGUACACUAUGUCAUGAUUAACCCCUGAGAUAGUUGCCGUAUUUGUACCAUCAUAUGAUCAAGUAAUCAUAUUCUAGAUCCAAAUUUGAACUAAGCCAAUUCUAGUUUCCCUUGACAAUUCCAUUAUACAAGUUCAUAUUCAUUCUAAGCUUCGAUAAUUAAAAGAUUCUAGAUUAGCUUACUCAGGAGCCUAGUCAAUCAUCCCGAAUCUUUUCUUUUAGGCUAAACUUAUUUGGGCCUCUUAUGAAAUCCCACUUGCAUUUCUCAUAUGGUGAGACAAAAUCCAUAAUCAACUCAUGGCCUUGAUUUAUAAAUAUUUAAUUCACAAGAAUCUAAUAAUCUAGUUCAAAGAUUUACAAAAAAAUUCCACCAAGAUAUAAGCUCUAUGAUUUUACAUUAAGAUCAAUUCCUCAAAUAAGUAAAAUAUUUUUAUUUGCAAUACUGCAAAUAUUUCGAGAUCUUGUAAAUCUACUAGACUUAGAGAAUCUACUAAUAACACAAUGAUAUCCAUAUUGAUCAAAAUAAAAAAUACUAUACUUUCCAACGAUUUUUUUUUUUUUAAAACAAGGAAAAGCAUCAAGAACUUUUCCAAAUCAAACAAAUCCUAUUUUCGACCAACCCAAAAACAUUUUAAUCUACCAAUAUUCUCAAGAUUUACCAAUUGACUUUCCAUCAAAAUAUCAAUCUUAAUUGUUUCAAGUCUCAAGUAGAGCCAAAUAAGAAUUCUUAAGUCUCAUCCCAAACAUAUUUUUCUUAUAUAUAACAGUUUCAUAUAUGAUCCAUAUAUAGAUUUUAACCUCAAAAAAAUAUUUUAAUAAAUAUAAUAAAAUCUUUCCAAAUUUAAAUAUUAACAACUUUUUAUGAACGAACCUUAACUUCUCACCAAAAUAGUUGACUUCAAGCUAGAAGUAACAUCACAGUACCUGAUAUAAAGUUGAACUUCCAAAUUCACUUAUAUAGUAAAUAAGCUAAUAAUUUACAAUGCACAAUAAUAUUCCAUGGUUAAUAGUCCUUCACUUAAUUUUAUCAAAAUCUUAUUUAAUCAUAACUUGAAAUACAAAUUACUCCAUCAAGAAAACUCUCUCAAAAUAGUUUAUUCACACUUUAGCUACUAGCAUAGUUAGCUAACAUUCUGCUUUUAAUAAGCAUGUCAAAUAAAAUUCAAAUAAAAUAACACAAAUUUACCAAUAUCAAAGCAAACAAAAUUUGUGUCUCAUUGCCUAAUUCCUACUUAUUUCUCAACCUUUCUGAUGAAUCUUAGGAAUCCUAAAACUUAAGCUCCAUACAACUAUUUCAAACAGAAUCCCUAAUAAUCUUAAACCUAAGCUCUGAUACCACCAAAUCUGUCACGCCCCGAGCCCGGAGCGCGGCAGACGCCGCACGCCCGCACGGCAAACCGCACAGGCGUGCAAGGCACCGGAACACAUUAAAGCAAUCAUAGAUAUUUAAAGAUGACAUAAUUAUUUAAGUUGGUCAAAAGCAGUCUUACAAAAUUUCAAAAUAGCAUAUGCCAACAUAAUUCAAAUAUCCAAGCUAAUCUAACUAAAAUGCCAAUAACUGAAGGAAUCAUCGAAAAAUCUAAUGCACUUUCCUAAUCCCGUACGAUUAAGUCUCUGGAUCUGAAAAACAGAGAAAACAGAGUAAUGAGCUACACUAGCCCAGUAAGCAACAAAAUACCCCAGAGUGGGUCAAAGUAUAUCAGAUCAAAAUACAAAAUAAUGACUGCGAAUAAAUCACAAAUAACAUCAUUUUCUCUUUUCAAAACUUAUUAUCAUUUUUACAAAAAAACUCUGAUACCGGAAUCUCAAAAUAAUAGGCUACGACCACGUA